rnacentral:rRNA from 1 species
AGUGAACGCUGGCGGCAGGCCUAACACAUGCAAGUCGAGCGGCAGCGGGUCCCCGCGAGGGGAUGCCGGCGAGCGGCGGACGGGUGAGGAACACAUCGGAAUCUGCCUGGUUGUGGGGGAUAACGUAGGGAAACUUACGCUAAUACCGCAUGCGACCCUGAGUCGACGGACUGGGGGUGAAAGUGAGGGACCUUCGGGCCGUCACGCGACCAGAUGAGCCGAUGUCGGAUUAGCUAGUUGGCGGGGUAACGGCCCGCCAAGGCGACGAUCCGUAGCUGGUCUGAGAGGAUGAUCAGCCACACUGGGACUGAGACACGGCCCAG